GUGCUUGCUUCGGCAGCACAUAUACUAAAAUUGGAACAGUACAGAGAAGAUUAGCGUGACCCCUGUGCAAGGAUGACACAUAAAUUCGUGAAGCGUUCCAUGUUUUU
rnacentral:snRNA from 1 species